AGACAAGUAUUCUAGCCCUACUCUCUCUCUCUCUCUCUCUAUAUAUAUAUAUAUAUAUAGCGCGUCUGGUAUGCUUAUGAAAGCACGGAGCGCUUCGUGCUUCCACUUUGUUUUCGAUGUUCGGACUUUCGAAUCGACGAUCGGCUCCGUUAGACUUGAUCUAGAGCAAGUGGCAAAGAGUUUGUUGGUUGGUACCCGAGAUCCAAUUUCGAAUCCUAGUUGAUUCACAUCUCUAGCUAAGUUUAUUUUUAAAUGAAAUAAACGAAGCGGGUAGCGUGCUACCUAUCUCU
rnacentral:lncRNA from 1 species